AGAGUUUGAUCAUGGCUCAGAACGAACGCUGGCGGCAGGCCUAACACAUGCAAGUCGAACGAAGCCUUCGGGCUUAGUGGCGGACGGGUUAGUAACGCGUGGGAACGUGCCCUUCUCUACGGAAUAGUCCCGGGAAACUGGGGGUAAUACCGUAUACGCCCUUCGGGGGAAAGAUUUAUCGGAGAAGGAUCGGCCCGCGUUAGAUUAGAUAGUUGGUGGGGUAACGGCCUACCAAGUCUACGAUCUAUAGCUGGUUUGAGAGGAUGAUCAGCAACACUGGGACUGAGACACGGCCCAGACUCCUACGGGAGGCAGCAGUGGGGAAUCUUGGACAAUGGGGGAAACCCUGAUCCAGCCAUGCCGCGUGAGUGACGAAGGUCUUAGGAUCGUAAAGCUCUUUCGCUGGGGAAGAUAAUGACUGUACCCAGUAAAGAAGUCCCGGCUAACUCCGUGCCAGCAGCCGCGGUAAUACGGAGGGGACUAGCGUUGUUCGGAAUUACUGGGCGUAAAGCGCACGUAGGCGGAUCAGCAAGUUAGGGGUGAAAUCCCGGGGCUCAACCCCGGAACUGCCUCUAAAACUGUUGGUCUUG
rnacentral:rRNA from 1 species